rnacentral:lncRNA from 1 species
GGUGCUUGUUUGAGAAUUCUUUCAAUUUUUCUUUCUUAUUUUUCUUUUAUUUUUAAAUGUUUACUGUAUGAAAACCCCAUCUAAAAACCACCGAUGGUGGUGCUCUUAGGACUUCUCUCAUUAGGGAGCCGACAUAACUCCAUCUUUAAGCUACUAUGAGUAUGGGCCAUUGCCUUGCUGCGGCUUAUCCAUGAGAAUAGACAUCUGGGACGCGUCUUGUUUGGUUUAAAAUAUAUUUUCCAACAUUUUUUUUGUCACGAUAACAUAUUUAACAUAUGCAUAUUGAUUAACAGAGAGAUGAAUGAGAAUUUUAAACAUUAUAAAUGUCAAGAGGGCAUAAAAGAAAACAAAUGGGAGAUUUCCUCCUAUAAUCUUUGGCGAUUAAGUAAGAAUAAACUUAUCAAAAAAACACCUUGGUUGGAAGGUCAUCUUUGGCCGGCUUCAUAGCAACCUGAAUACGGUAACAACCUUGUGAAGAUGAUGGACCUAAAAACUGAGACACUCGAGACCAAUCUCCUGAAAUUAUAUGGGAGACGACAUGAUAUGCUUUGUUCUGAUUGACACGGUAUCCACGUACCAUGGUUUGUUUGACUAUCUCAAAUAUUGUCUCCAUCCCUUAUUUUUAUUGAUGUUAAUAGUUAUGCACUCGAUCCAAAUAAUUAACUGAUAGAUCAAAUAGAAUAAAUAAGCAAAUUAUCAAUGCACCUAAUAAUUCACGUAUGUGUGGCCCAGUUUAAGAUUUCC